GACCGAGGUGGCAAGCGUUGUUCGGAAUUACUGGGCGUAAAGGGCGCGUAGGCGGCCCGUCAAGUCCCGUGUGAAAGCCCCCGGCUCAACCGGGGAACGGCGCGGGAAACUAGCAGGCUUGAGUUCGGGAGAGGGAAGCGGAAUUCCGGGUGUAGCGGUGAAAUGCGCAGAUAUCCGGAGGAACACCGGUGGCGAAGGCGGCUUCCUGGACCGACACUGACGCUGAGGCGCGAAAGCUAGGGGAGCAAACGGG
rnacentral:rRNA from 1 species